ensembl:lncRNA
AGAGGCGCAGGCUGACGCCGGGCCCCUCAGCGAGCCGUUCUCAGGGCAGCCAGCAUCCUCUGGGCAGCUCUCUGAGCCGCUGCUGCGCAGGCAUCUGAUGGAAGAGGCGCGGCAGAGGCAGCCCCGGGUGGCUCUCACCCGCCUGGCGCUGCCGACCCCCCUGGAUGCUCGCGUGCCUCCUUCAGCCCACAGCGCACGGCUGAUAGAAGAGGCGAAGCGGAGGCAGCUCCGGGUGGUUCUCACCCGCCUGGCGCUGCCACCCGGCUGCACGUCCUGCCGCGUGCCAGGCAACCACCACGAGGAUGGCACCGAGCCGGCCGAGUGCCCGGCGCCCGCCUGCACCACCGGGAAAGGCAGGAGCAGAGGGCACGAGCAGCGCGCUGGCAGCGUCCCGGCCAGGAAGAGGAGGCUGCCCCUGGGCCAGGACGCUGCAGGACACAAACGCCGGCGCUAGGCGAAGCUGGGUGGGCUCAGCCCGAGCGGGAGCGUCCCGUAUUUGCACGGCCGUAGCCAACAAAUGAGGCUCCCUGUAGCCCUGGGCUCCUCGCCGGCCCCUGCGGCACACAGAGCAGCGGCAGUGCUCCAGGGACACCAGCACCGGCCCCAGCCCUACCCCUCCAAACCUGGGCUGUCCACCGAUGUCAUCUUGGACUGUUAAAUUAUGUUACGUUAUACUACAUUAUUAAAUUACAUUAAAUUAUUAAAUGUUUUACAUUCACUUUCCUAUGCCUCCACUUGCAGUCGUUCAUGCAGCUCUAAACCCCCCCCAGACCCCAGUGCCCACCUGCGGGGCAGGACGGGGCAGCACAAAGGGCCAUGUCCCAGGGCUGCCCCCACCGGCCCCAUCCCUCCCCUCCAAAGUCUCCUCUCCUCCUCAGUCAGCGCUAUCUGGGAAUGUAGGCAUGGGAAAUGGCUGGGGUGGGAUUCUGGGAGAGCGGGGGCGGCUCAGCCUGCAGAAGAGGAGGCUCAGGGGGACCCCAGGCACAGCCAUCAGUCCCUGCAGGGAGGUGCAGAGAGAACCAUGCUGCCACCGAGCCUCUCACUGUUGUUUGUCACCCCUCCAGGCCCGCCUACAACCGGACCUGGUGACACCAGAGUCGUCUGGUGCUGUCACCAUCAUCUCACAUGAAGAUUUAUCUCUUCUCUCUCCUCUCCUCUCCUCUCCUCUCCUCUCCUCUCCUCUCCUCUCCUCUCCUCUCCUCUCCAACAUCUGUUUCCUCACAAAUACCUGGCAUUUUCUCCCAGAAACACCAGCUUUCUCACAGACAGAUGGCCUUUCCCCCCCCCCACAUCAGACAUUUUCUCCCAGAAAUAGCAGGACUCUUAGAAAUACCAGCUUCUGCCCCCAAAAUGGGACUUUGGCUCUCCAAAACAAGACAUUUUCUCCCAGAAAUACCAGGACUCUUAGAAAUACCUCACGUUUCAUCUCAAGAAUACUGCUUUCCACUCCUCAAGAUCACACUGACUCCCAUCAAAAGGGCCUUUUCUCCCAGUUAGACAAGUUUUCUCCCAAAUACACGACAUUUUCUCCCACAAAGACCAGGUUUCUCCCAAAGAUGGCAUACAUUUCCCCAGAAAUACCAGCUUAUUCUUCAAAAUAUGGCCUUUUUCCCCAAAAUACCAGCUUUCUCACAAACACAUGUCAUUUUCCAACCAAGUCUGCUACUAUCUCCCAGAAACAGCACUUUUCUGAGAAAUACCUGACGUUUGCUCUCCCAAAUACUACUUGACACUCCUCCAGAGGACAUUGUCUCCCCUAUUUACCACGCUUUCUCCCCAAGAGACCACUUGGCACACCAAAAAGACCACCGUUGCUCUCCAGUACAAGAUAUUCUUUCCCACCAUUUCCCACUUUUCUCCCUCAACUAUGUCAUUUCCUCCCAGAAAUGCCACUUUUCCCUUGGAAAUUUCACCUUCUCUUCCAAAAAGAGGAUUUUUUCUCCCAGAAAUACCCCUUCUCUUACAACUGCCACACGCUUUCUCCCCAAAAUCCUCCAUGACAAUGCCAAAUGGGACACUUGCAGCCAAGAAGAGGACACUUUCUCCCAGAAAUACCACUUUUCUCCCCAAGAGAGGAGAUUUUCUCCCAAUUGGAUGACAUUUGCUGUAAGAAAGGCCUGUUUUCUUCCGUCAAGAGGACAUUUUCUCCCAGAAGUACCGCUACUCUUUGAAACACCUCCAUUUCCUCCCAAAUCUACUCCAUGACACGCCUCAGGAUGACACUUACUCCCCAAUUUGGGGCAUUUUCUCCCAGAAAUACCACUUCUCUCCCAAAGUGAUGGCCUUUUCCCUCUCUAGCAUCUGUUUCCUCACCAAUACCUGGCAUUUUCUCCCAGAAACACCAGCUUUCUCACAGAUACAUCACCUUCUCCCCCCCACGUCUGACGUUUUCUCCCAGAAAUAUGGCAUUUGAUCACAGAUACACUCUUUCUAUCCCAAAUCUGAGACAUUUUCCCUCAGAAAUACCACUUUGCUCACAAAGAUGUCACAUUGUCAUCCAGGAACACUCUUCCAGUCCCCCAAACAUCAUCUCUUCCACCAAAAACAAGGACAUUUUCUCCCAGAAAGACCAGCUUUCUUGCAUAGAAAGACCUUUUCCACCCACAAGAAGACAUUUGCUUCAAGAAACAGAGUUUUCUCACCGAUCUAGGAACGUUUCCCCCUAAAACAAGACAUUUUCUCCCAGAAAUACCAGGACUCUUAGAAAUACCUCCCAUUUCAUCCCAAGAA